rnacentral:rRNA from 1 species
AUUGAACGCUGGCGGCAGGCUUAACACAUGCAAGUCGAGCGGAGAUGAGGUGCUUGCACCUUAUCUUAGCGGCGGACGGGUGAGUAAUGCUUAGGAAUCUGCCUAUUAGUGGGGGACAACAUUCCGAAAGGAAUGCUAAUACCGCAUACGUCCUACGGGAGAAAGCAGGGGAUCUUCGGACCUUGCGCUAAUAGAUGAGCCUAAGUCGGAUUAGCUAGUUGGUGGGGUAAAGGCCUACCAAGGAGACGAUCUGUAGCGGGUCUGAGAGGAUGAUCCGCCACACUGGGACUGAGACACGGCCCAGACUCCUACGGGAGGCAGCAGUGGGGAAUAUUGGACAAUGGGGGGAACCCUGAUCCAGCCAUGCCGCGUGUGUGAAGAAGGCCUUAUGGUUGUAAAGCACUUUAAGCGAGGAGGAGGCUACUGAGACUAAUACUCUUGGAUAGUGGACGUUACUCGCAGAAUAAGCACCGGCUAACGCUGUGCCAGCCGCCGCCGUAAGAC